rnacentral:lncRNA from 1 species
AAGUUGUCAUUAAUUCAUUAAUCAUUAAUUCUGUUUAAGUAAUAUUAUGGACCUACUUGGUUUCUCUGCUGCUGUGAUAAAACAUUGAUCAAAAGCAACUUGGGUGAAAAAGUAAUUAUUGACUUUUCCCCAUCACAGUCUAUCUCUGAGCAAAAGCAAGGAGGGAGCCUAGAUAUAUGAACUGAUCCAGAAAUGCAGAGAAACACUGCUUAGUGGCCUGCUGCUCAUGGUCGGCUCAGCUUGCUUUCUCAUACAACCCCCAACCACCUGCCAGGGUUGGCACCACCCAAACCU